GAUGAAUUACGUGGUGUGCACACUGUGUCUUAAUACAGUUGUUAUUUAAAGAAAAAGAAAAACAAUAAAGUUGUUAUUUUGAAUGCUGAAUUUAGCAAGGACACUGGAUAUAAAAUAAAUAUACAAAGGUCACUUAUAUUUGUGCAGACCUGCAACAAUAAUGAGAGAGACGAAAAGGGAAUUUGAAAGUAACAUCAUCACCAUAGCAUCAAAACAAUAUCAACUAUCCGUAGUGAAUCCAAUAAAAUAUCCUGGAAACCAUAAAAUAUUUAUUAAGGUAGGUUAAGGAAGACCUAAAUACAGAAAGAGAAAUGACAUAUUUGCGGCUUAAAAGCAAGAGUUAUAAAGUCAUAAAAGUGAUCUGUAGAUGCAGCUAAAACCCCUCGGUGGGGGUGGCGGUGGGGGAGGGACAUGUUGCCAAGCUGACCCUAUAGUUUAGGUAGAAACCUGAAAGGAUGAGAACAGCCAAGACAACCGUGCAGAAGACCGAAGUGAGGGCCUUCACCACCACAUACUGAGACUUAAUCGAAUGCUCUCGUUAUUAAUCAGGUGACAAACAGACCAAAAAAAUGGAAUGAAGGGUCUGGAAACAGAGGCACAGGUACAUGGGAUGCUUGAUUUCUGAUUAAUGUGGAUUACGGAACAAGACAAAAGGAAAAGCUCUGUAAUAAGUAACUCUGGGUUGGGAUCCCGGGAUGGCUCAGUGGUUUAGCACCGCCUUCAGCCCAGGGCCUGAUCCUGGGGUCCCCGGAAUCAAGUCCCACGUCAGGCUCCCUGCAUGGAGCCUGCUUCUCCCUCCGCCUGUGUCUCUGCCUCUCUCUGUGUGUCUCUCAUGAAUGAAUAAAUAAAAUCUUUAAAAAAAUAAUAAUUCUGGGUUAAUUGCAAACCCGUAUGGGAACAAUGAACCUUAGGUCGCCGUUUAUACCACAGUUCCCAGUUGGCCUGUGGGUGUACACAUGAAAGCUAAGACAUAGAUGAUUCUGGAAAAAGAGAACAACCGUGAGGGGGUGUCUUUAGUGCCAAGCCCCGGAGUCCCUUCCUUUACAGGGUUUUGCUCUCGGGUGGGGAGGACUCGGAACCCAAAAAACCAAGCAGAUAGAACAAAGCGUCCAGAGUCAGGAGCUGGUGUGUCAGGUGGGGGUGAGGGAACGAGUGAGCUGGACACAGCACCGUGCCCUCGGAGGACGGGGCGGGGGGGGUGCGGGCCUAGUGGCCAGUGGGCCCACCCGCGGGUCAGCACGGCCCACCCGGAGGGAGCUGGAAGGAGGCCGGGGGCCUGGCCCAGGAGCAGGAAUCUGACCUCCACCAGAGUAAACAACCGCCCACUCCGCGUCCAGGUCCAGCCCACGGCGGGGGCUUCCGGAGGGCUCCUGGUGUCUGCACGUUGGAGUGUUCAGCCCCCGACGGUCAACCCGAUGGGCUUGGCUGUAGACUCAGGGGAUCCGUCCAUCAAGCCUUGAUGGCUUCACCUGCCGGGCCAGGGGUGUGGCCAAGGAGCCUCUUGUGCUGCCCCCAGUUCUCCAGGACUUCAGGCCACGCCGGACCCUACUCUGAAGACAAGCCCCAGGGGUCCUCAGGACACGGCUGACCGCAGAGCCCCACCCCACAUCCCCAGACGCCCUGAGUCAACUGACACGGGGCGUCUCAGGGAAGAUGAGCCCGGCUGGCGCCCGCAGAGCCCACAAGAAGCAGGCCCAGCUCCCACGGGCAGCGAGACCCCAGCCCCAACCUCCAGCGAGGUCUCCCACGCCUCCCAGGACUCCGGUCAAGACACCAGCUCGACGAAAUUCUGCUCGGUAACUUCGCACAGAAAAAUCACAGAGUUAAGAGGAGAGAUUUGGCCCAGGCGGAGGUUGCUAGAAGCCAGGAGCGGAGCAGAGGCCUCAGGCCAGGCCCCUGACACACACCUGGCAAGAGACCGAGGCUCAGGCAGCUCUAACCGGCCUCUCACACCUGCCAGAGAGGUUGUGUCGCCAAAACAUGAGAAACUCAGCAAACUUGUCUGCGCAACAGUUAGGGACCGUCCAGCCUGGGGUGCGGGGUGCUGAGGCCUUGCACUGGGCACACUUUCCGUGCACACCAGGGCCUCCAGAGCAUCGUGGAUCUGAGGCCUGCAGAGGCCAGGCCUCCCUGACUCCCCGUGCUCCUGGGGAGCUCUGGGGUCACGGGAAGAGGCCCCCUCCCUCCCCGACCCUGGAGCCUUGAUGGCCACUCACCCCCAUGCCCUGCCCCCACAGGAGCCCUGGGAGCUGAACCUGGGCCCACGGCUUCUGG
rnacentral:lncRNA from 12 species